GAUGAACGCUGGCGGCGUGCCUAAUACAUGCAAGUCGAGCGAACGGACGAGAAGCUUGCUUCUCUGAUGUUAGCGGCGGACGGGUGAGUAACAUGUGGAUAACCUACCUAUAAGACUGGGAUAACUUCGGGAAACCGGAGCUAAUACCGGAUAAUAUUUUGAACCGCAUGGUUCAAAAGUGAAAGACGGUCUUGCUGUCACUUAUAGAUGGAUCCGCGCUGCAUUAGCUAGUUGGUAAGGUAACGGCUUACCAAGGCAACGAUGCAUAGCCGACCUGAGAGGGUGAUCGGCCACACUGGAACUGAGACACGGUCCAGACUCCUACGGGAGGCAGCAGUAGGGAAUCUUCCGCAAAGGGCGAAAGCCUGACGGAGCAACGCCGCGUGAGUGAUGAAGGUCUUCGGAUCGUAAAACUCUGUUAUUAGGGAAGAACAUAUGUGUAAGUAACUGUGCACAUCUUGACGGUACCUAAUCAGAAAGCCACGGCUAACUACGUG
rnacentral:rRNA from 1 species